GGGGGGUGGGGGUGUUGGAAUUCAUAAUGGAUACUAUGAUAUUCAGGCAUAUUUCCAACAAAAAAGAGAUCAAAAUGUAAAUUCACAAGUAGUCUGCUCAAGUCAAAGAGAUUCAAUCAAGAAAGAAAAAAAUACUCCUAAAAUGUAUUACAGAAUUAAAAAAUAAAUAAAUAAAUAAAUACGAAGAAGGCCAUAUAUAGUCAAAGGGCAGCUAAAACCAGAAACUCUAAAGGUAAAAAGUAAUGUGAACAUUAGAACAUGAACAAUUUUCUUAAAAAUGUUAAUUUUUAAUUCUUUAUUAAACCGGAACCGAAAUUGUUGAUUAAGAAUCAAGAAAUUAAUCAAAUAGGGUUCUUCCAUAAACGCAAGCUAAAAACUUUCUUACCAUUUCAUAUCACUCUUUUUCAAAAGAGAAGAAAACACUCAAUUGAAAACACUAAAUUGUAUUAAAAGAUAGUAAUCCACAAUCAUUUAAGGAAAUAAUAAUCAGGGUAUGACGGAGAGCUCCUCUUACUAACCUUAUAAAAUUGAACUCAAGAAUCGAUAUCAGAGCUCUAAUUGCUUGUUUAACAAUUCGAUUAGUCUAGAGAUCAGACGCGUAAUUGAACCCGACUGCAAUUGAAAGAUCAAUCAGAUUUCAAGACGAUAUUCUCGUAUCCACUACCUUUCUUUUUCCUUUUUUCUGCGCAGCAACAAAUUCACGAAAAUAAUAAAGCUCCAAAAAACAGAAACCAAGAAUGAGAUCUCUAUAAAGACUUUAAUAUCCGCACCCACACGAUUUAUUGUGGCCCAAAUCAAGAAUCAGUGACCCCAGUCUUUGGAUUUUCUGUGAUCAGUUGUAUGCGGAAGUUUUUUUUGUGGAAUACAAGGCUGAGGAUUUUCUGUGCAGUCCAAUAAAAAUCUAGAAUUUUUUAUUUGGUCGUUGAAUAUUCCAAAAAAAAACAUAGGCAUAGAUAUUAUAUUUUAUUUUUGUAAAAGAG
rnacentral:lncRNA from 1 species